GUUUAACGCUACGCUGUUUCAAUCAAUUCACAUGCAGACUGCUGGCUGCAGGGUGUCUAUGCAAUAUGGCAGCCGCUGUGGCCGCAGGCAGCCGGUGCACAUUGUCCUAUCGCUUACAUCGCCGUUUCUGUACUUCGUGUCCCGGAGUGAAAUAAGCCGUCUUGUUGCUUCAAGACCUCGCGAUGGAGCGCGGUCCGAAGAAAAGAAAGAGAGGACCCUACAAGACUUAUUUAAAUCCCAAGUCUCAGUUCCAGCUACCAAGGAGCACCGCACGCGCUUGCCCGCCGACCGGUGCCAGCCCUAGCAUGCCUUCUUCGAGUGAUGAGGCAGACAGCGACACUGAAAGGGCAGAUCCACCAAGUCGAACAACAUCACUGAAGAGCCGGAAUAGUCACAUAGCUAGUCCGGGCUCCGAACGUCCGGAAAGUGAAGAAGAUUUCCCCGAGUCCGAUAAUGAGCCGGUAACGUCAAGUGGAGGCCGGUUAGGCUCGUCAGCUGGCAGUGCUAUGGAAGCUCCUGCUGCAGCCCCUGAAGCACAAGAGCAGAGGAACAGCGCUGAUCCGUCACAGAAAUUUCCUGCACGCGAGCCUCACGCCCCAGCAGAUGAAGUUAUUUUACUAAGGCUUAUCAGUUAAUUAGACUCUCCACUUCAAGACGGCAUUGCAAGCCUUUCUGACGCAGAUGAUUCGUCACUGUUUGAUAAGGAUGAAGAGGAAGCUUUUUCAAGUGACCAUGCUUCACAGCAAGGUUUCCCUGGAGAUUUUCUCACAUUAGAUGAUGACAUGCCUGCUGCAGAUCCAGUGACAGAGCCUGAUCCAUCUUGCAAGGCACGCUUUGGAGACCUUUUUACACAACUUGUCACUGAGAAAGUGGUUCUUUCGAAGGGAGAUAUUCUCCUAAUGGCACUAAAGCAUGCUGUGAAGAAUAAUUUGACUCUUUUGGGUUUAACUAGCUUAAUAGAUUUAAUUAACAGAAUUUUUGAUAAACCUAUAUUACCUCACUCACAGUAUCACCUACAUAAACUUUUUAGCGAAACUGGCACCACUAUGACUUUUUUCUUUUUUUGUCCGAGAUGCUUUUCGCAUAUUGGCAGUCUUGAGACAAAUUCUUACUUGAAAUGCUCGAAGUGCAGUCACACAACUUUUGUGUCUUCCCUUUCGGAUGCCCCCUUUUUUGUCACUCUCGAUGUGGAGUCGCAACUUCAAAGGCUACUUAAGGACUGUGAUCUUCUUGAUUUAACAAAGCCCCUUCCGACGAAUGGGACAUUUUCAGACAUCUGGGAUGGUACAAUGUAUCGUACUUUUGUAGCCGAAUCUCAACACUGUGGACCAAGAAUCAGUUUCUCGUUGAAUGCAGAUGGGACCCCGCUUUUCAAAUCAAGUGGGACAUCAAUUUGGCCCAUCCAGCUAAUUGUUAAUGAGCUCCCUCCACAGCAAAGAAUGUCCAAAUUGGUCCUGGCCGCAUUGUGGUUCUGGAAAGAAAAGCCAAACAUGGCACUUUUCCAAGGUACUUUUGUUGAGAAAAUGAACGAGCUGUGUGAGAAUGGCGUUGAAUUACAACGUCAAGGAAGGGUUGAAAAAUAUAAGGGUUGAAAAAUAUAAAACACCACCGCUGUCGUCUUGGGGCCAGCACAAUAAACAAUGUAGGGGCCAAAGUAGCGAUGCCAUCGCCUGCGUCACUUUCGUUGACAUGACAAACUUGACAUCGCACUGACAGUGUUGCCAAUAAUUCUGGCAAGCGAGGCGAGUUUUUCGAGGCAAUCUUUAAAAUUCAUUUGCAAAUAAUCUGCGCAUCUCUCAAGCCUGUAAUUGGCAUAAAUGACAGGAAUGUGCGUAAGAGUGUACCCAGCGAAUUUGAUUGAGAUUCGUUGACCUCGAAAAACCACCGGAGUUGACCUUUAAGCAUCCUUAAAUAAGUAAAGACAUGCUGUUCACGUGUAAACUGUUAACCUGUAUGAAACCUGUUUCUCAGUGCUUUACUGAAAUGCCAGUUGUAUGGCAAUGCCUUUUUCCUCCUUUGGAACUAAAAUUCCUUUUAUUGUGAUUCAAUUUACUGUUAUAAGUAUUUGUAAUAUUUGAAGUAUCUUGUACGCCUUGUGUUGCAGCACUGGCCAAGAAAUUUUUUUACACCAAAAUAUGUUCUGUGCUAUUUAAAUCCUGUUUGCCUUGAAAUAAAAUUCUUUUUUUUUCAAUGUUA